CUCUGAGCUCCACCACUGACCUGAAUGAACCUGUAGAGACUAUAGAGUUGGACGCUUGUCAUGUAUAUGAGAACGUCUCAGACUUGCAGGUCGUCACUGCAGCAGAGACAGACAACGAAGAGGACUACGAAAACCUGAAGUAAAAUCCAAUCAGGUUGGAGCCUCCUGAAAGUUGAACCAGAGGCUGGACUCACCUGAUGGAAACAGAAAGUAGUACAACAGUGAAAUAUGACAGUGGAGAGAGAGAGAGGCUGUAGAGGACCAUGUGGACGUUUUCAUGUUCAGUUUUCAGCAGCAGCAGCAGGUAGAAGUGAGCAGCACAGACAGUCAGUAACAUCAUGUAGCAGAAGAUUUGAGAAGAAUGUGCUGAUGGCAGCUUGAACUGAAUCAUGUCGAUG